GACGUAGGGCGCGAGCGUUGUCCGGAUUUAUUGGGCGUAAAGAGCUCGUAGGCGGCUUGUUGCGUCGACUGUGAAAACCCGCGGCUUAACUGCGGGCUUGCAGUUGAUACGGGCAGGCUAGAGUUCGGUAGGGGAGACUGGAAUUCCUGGUGUAGCGGUGAAAUGCGUAGAUAAUCGGGAGGAAUACCUAUGGCGAAAGCAGGCUUCUGGGCCGUCACUGACGCUGAUCUGCGAAAGCUAGGGGAGCAAACAGG
rnacentral:rRNA from 1 species